rnacentral:rRNA from 1 species
CCCCUAGAUGUUCUGGGCCGCACGCGCGCUACACUGGUCGAUGCAACGAGUUUCUUUCCUUGGCCGACAGGCCUGGGCAAUCUUUGAACAUCGAUCGUGAUCGGGAUAGAUUCUUGUAAUUUUUGAUCUUAAACGAGGAAUUCCUAGUAAACGCAAGUCAUCAGCUUGCAUUGAUUACGUCCCUGCCCUUUGUACACACCGCCCGUCGCACCUACCGAUUGAAUGGUCCGGUGAAAUCUCCGGACUGGCGUGAGUCGGAGCAAUCUGACAAACGCCGGAAAGUUGAUUAAACCUUACCAUUUAGAGGAAGGUGAAGUCGUAACA